rnacentral:rRNA from 1 species
UACGUAGGGGGCAAGCGUUGUCCGGAAUUAUUGGGCGUAAAGAGCGUGUAGGCGGUCCGGUAAGUCGGCUGUGAAAGUCCAGGGCUCAACCCUGGGAUGCCGGUCGAUACUGCCGGACUAGAGUUCGGAAGAGGCGAGUGGAAUUCCCGGUGUAGCGGUGAAAUGCGCAGAUAUCAGGAGGAACACCAAUAGCGAAGGCAGCUCGCUGGGACGUUACUGACACUGAGGCGCGAAAGCGUGGGGAGCGAACAGG